GACGGAGGGUGCAAGCGUUGUUCGGAUUGACUGGGCGUAAAGGGCGUGUAGGCGGUCGGCCAAGUCUGAUGUGAAAGCCCGAGGCUCAGCCUCGGAAGUGCGUCGGAAACUAGUCGGCUGGAGCGCGAUAGAGGAGGGUGGAAUUCCUGGUGUAGCGGUGGAAUGCGUAGAGAUCCGGAAGAACACCAGUGGCGAAGGCGGCCCGCUGGGCAGUGGCUGACGCUGAGGCGCGACAGCGUGGGGAGCAAACAGG
rnacentral:rRNA from 1 species